rnacentral:lncRNA from 1 species
GUUUUUUACAAAAAUUUAUUUAUAGUCUUAAAUUGCAAAAAUAUAUAAUAAAAAAAUACUGACUUCAAUUAAAAUUAGAUUAUACAAAUGAUAGUUUAGUAAAAUAUGCUGUUAUAUUAUUUUUCCUAACAAUUUAUCUUCAAAACAGUACUUCUUUUUUAUUUAUAAUACAGUAACUGAAUAUGGGUAAAUUAUUGAAUCAUCUGGGGGCAUGGUAGUGCCCCUGCCAUAUCAAGCAAGCACGGCCGUAUCAUCCUUUUCUGGAAGCAACACAGUACUUUUCACAUCUCUAUAUCUUUGUGUUGGGGUUGCCCAAAAUCCUGAAAUUUUUUUAGCUAGAGUAGUUGAUAAAUGGAACAAAACCUUUAAAUUGCACAGUUCUAUCUUUUCUAAUUCAAAAGAUAUACAGUCAGACCUCGUUAUAUGGUCACCUCAGCGGACCUGGG